GAUGAAGAACGUAGCGAAAUGCGAUAAGUAAUGUGAAUUGCAGAAUUCAGUGAAACAUCGAAUCUUUGAACGCACAUUGCGCCCCCCAGUAUUCUGGCGGGCAUGCCUGUUCGAGCGUCAUUUCAACCAUCAAGCCCUGCUUGUGUUGGGGUCCUGCGGCUGCCCGCAGGCCCUGAAAACCAGUGGCGGGCUCGCUAGUCACACCGAGCGCAGUAGCACAUCUCGCUCAGGGCGUGCGGCGGGCUCCAGCCGUUAAAGCACCCACCUUUCGCAAGGUUGACCUCGGAUCAGGUAGGAAUACCCGCUGAACUUAAGCAUAUCAAUAAGCGGAGGA
rnacentral:misc_RNA from 1 species